UACGUAGGGGGCAAGCGUUGUCCGGAAUCAUUGGGCGUAAAGAGCGUGUAGGCGGCCCGGUAAGUCCGUUGUGAAGGUCCAGGGCUCAACCCUGGAAUGCCGAUGGAUACUGCCGGGCUAGAGUUCGGAAGAGGCGAGUGGAAUUCCUGGUGUAGCGGUGAAAUGCGCAGAUAUCAGGAGGAACACCGGUGGCGAAGGCGGUUCUCUGGGACGGUACUGACGCUGAGACGCGAAAGCGUGGGGAGCGAACAGG
rnacentral:rRNA from 1 species